CAAAAAGGAAGCGUUGUUUUUGGAAUUGUAUAAUACCCAGAAGGCUCUGUUGCCAGAUCAUAACAGAAGACCCUAUAUGCUACUUUCUUACCUCUCUCUCUUUUAGAAUCAGACUCGGGAGGAUCCCAAACAAUCUAGGCGAGAGUAUGACAUGAGAAAAUUGAAUUAGAGUUUGGACAAUUGGAAGGGUUCAUCCAUGCUCCUGUGAUUCUUCUAGGCACAUCCUGACAGCUCAGAACAGCCAUGAGGCAGGCAACUGAAGCUUGAGCUCUUCCCUAUGCAGUAGCACAUUACACCGCUCCUUUCCUUGCUUGCUGAUGGAAACAGAAAGUUAUUCAUGAAAUACUGUCUGGGCUUGCCUGUCUGUGAUCAUUCAUGGCAAAGAAAGAGCCUGACUAAGCAACAAAAUAAAUAAAUAAACAAAUCACA